GACGUAGGGGGCCAGCGUUGUUCGGAAUUACUGGGUGUAAAGGGUUCGUAGGCGGUGUGGCAAGUCGGGAGUGAAAUCUCUGGGCUCAACUCAGAGACUGCUUCCGAAACUGCUGUGCUGGAGUGUGGGAGAGGCGCGUGGAAUUGCAGGUGUAGCGGUGAAAUGCGUAGAUAUCUGCAGGAACACCCGUGGCGAAAGCGGCGCGCUGGACCACUACUGACGCUGAGGCGCGAAAGCCAGGGGAGCAAACGGG
rnacentral:rRNA from 1 species